rnacentral:rRNA from 1 species
AGAGUUUGAUCAUGGCUCAGAACGUACGCUGGCGGCACGCCUAACACAUGCAAGUCGAACGAAGUAGCAAUACUUAGUGGCAGACGGGUGAGUAACAUGUAGGUAUCUGCCCUUUGGCCUGGAAUAACACGAGGAAACUUGUGCUAAUACCGGAUAAGUCUUUACAGAGAAAGCUUUAUGCACCAUUGGAUGAGCCUGCACUUGAUUAGUUUGUUGGUGGGGUAAUGGCCUACCAAGACUGUGAUCAAUAGCUGAUUUGAGAGGAUGAUCAGCCACAUUGGGACUGAGACACGGCCCAAACUCCUACGGGAGGCAGCAGUGGGGAAUCUUGCACAAUGGAGGAAACUCUGAUGCAGCGAUGCCGCGUGAGUGAAGAAGGCCUUUGGGUUGUAAAGCUCUUUCGUCGGGGAAGAAAAUGACUGUACCCGAAUAAGAAGGUCCGGCUAACUUCGUGCCAGCAGCCGCGGUAAUACGAAGGGACCUAGCGUAGUUCGGAAUUACUGGGCUUAAAGAGUUCGUAGGUGGUUGAAAAAGUUGGUGGUGAAAUCCCAGAGCUUAACUCUGGAACUGCCAUCAAAACUUUUCAGCUAGAGUAUGAUAGAGGAAAGCAGAAUUUCUAGUGUAGAGGUGAAAUUCGUAGAUAUUAGAAAGAAUACCAAUUGCGAAGGCAGCUUUCUGGAUCAUUACUGACACUGAGGAACGAAAGCAUGGGUAGCGAAGAGGAUUAGAUACCCUCGUAGUCCAUGCCGUAAACGAUGUGUGUUAGACGUUGGAAAUUUAUUUUCAGUGUCGCAGCGAAAGCGAUAAACACACCGCCUGGGGAGUACGACCGCAAGGUUAAAACUCAAAUGAAUUGACGGGGACCCGCACAAGUAGUGGAGCAUGUGGUUUAAUUCGAAGAUACGCGCAGAACCUUACCAACACUUGACAUGUUCGUCGCGACUCUAAGAGAUUAGAGUUUUCGGUUCGGCCGGACGAAACACAGGUGCUGCAUGGCUGUCGUCAGCUCGUGUCGUGAGAUGUUGGGUUAAGUCCCGCAACGAGCGCAACCCUCACUUUUAGUUGCCAUCAUUAAGUUGGGCACUCUGAAAGAACUGCCAGUGAUAAGCUGGAGGAAGGUGGGGAUGACGUCAAGUCCUCAUGGCCCUUACGUGUUGGGCUACACACGUGCUACAAUGGUAUCUACAACAGGAAGCAAAACCGCGAGGUUAAGCAAAUCCUUAAAAGAUACCUCAGUUCGGAUUGCACUCUGCAACUCGAGUGCAUGAAGCUGGAAUUACUAGUAAUCGUGGAUCAGCGUGCCACGGUGAAUGCGUUCCCGGGUCUUGUACACACCGCCCGUCACACCAUGGGAGUUGGUUCUACCUUAAGGCAAGGUUUCAAACCCUUGACCACGGUAUAGUCAGCGACUGGGGUGAAGUCGUAACAAGGUAGCCGUAGGGGAACCUGCGGCUG